ACGCUAGCUACAGGCUUAACACAUGCAAGUCGAGGGGAAACGGCAUUAAGUGCUUGCACUUUUUGGACGUCGACCGGCGCACGGGUGAGUAACGCGUAUCCAACCUUCCCAUGACUAAGGGAUAACCUGCCGAAAGGCAGACUAAUACCUUAUGGUCUUCACUGACGGCAUCAGAUGUGAAGUAAAGAUUUAUCGGUUAUGGAUGGGGAUGCGUCUGAUUAGUUAGUUGGCGGGGUAACGGCCACCAAGGCAACGAUCAGUAGGGGUUCUGAGAGGAAGGUCCCCCACAUUGGAACUGAGACACGGUCCAAACUCCUACGGGAGGCAGCAGUGAGGAAUAUUGGUCAAUGGGCGAGAGCCUGAACCAGCCAAGUAGCGUGCAGGACGACGGCCCUAUGGGUUGUAAACUGCUUUUGUAUGGGGAUAAAGUCAAUCACGUAUGAUUGUUUGCAGGUACCAUACGAAUAAGGACCGGCUAAUUCCGUGCCAGCAGCCGCGGUAAUACGGAAGGUCCGGGCGUUAUCCGGAUUUAUUGGGUUUAAAGGGAGCGUAGGCUGGAGAUUAAGUGUGUUGUGAAAUGUAGACGCUCAACGUCUGACUUGCAGCGCAUACUGGUUUCCUUGAGUACGCACAACGUUGGCGGAAUUCGUCGUGUAGCGGUGAAAUGCUUAGAUAUGACGAAGAACUCCGAUUGCGAAGGCAGCUGACGGGAGCGCAACUGACGCUAAAGCUCGAAGGUGCGGGUAUCGAACAGGAUUAGAUACCCUGGUAGUCCGCACAGUAAACGAUGGAUGCCCGCUGUUGGUACGUGGUAUCAGCGGCUAAGCGAAAGCAUUAAGCAUCCCACCUGGGGAGUACGCCGGCAACGGUGAAACUCAAAGGAAUUGACGGGGGCCCGCACAAGCGGAGGAACAUGUGG
rnacentral:rRNA from 1 species